UGUGUGUGAGAUGUAUGUGUACACAUUUCCUAGAGUCUUGCUGGCUGCUCUGACUGACUAUUUCUCUCAAUAGCAGGUCAGCAGCAAGCACAUAUGCUGCUGGGUUAGAUAAAAUCAGCAACAGAUAGGAAAGAAAAAUAGCCAUUCCCUGGGUCACUCAGGGUUGUGAGCCUUGGGAGAGAUGUCAACAUUCAUAUUUGAACCCUAUUGACUCACUAACAACGUAUUGUCUCACAGCCUUUCAAAGAUGAUCCUGAGACUAUAUGGUAAAAAGCUACAAGAAAGCUCCAAGAAGAAACAUGAGGCAAAUGUGACACCUACUGGCUGGCUGAGGUCCAUGCAGAAAGCAGUCAUCCCAAACCCAGACAAAUCCCUAAAGCAUCCUCUGGCAACUGUCACCCUCUUGCAAGUGAAGUCUACUGUCAAGGAAAUAGAGAUCUGGACAAAGCAGGCAAAGUUAGGAAGGAACGCAGCAAGAGCAGACAGAUGAGGCAGCAUCAGCAUCGGUCCUAGGAAGCAGGCCCCCAGUGAUGUCCUCAGAUGUAUCAUCUGUGCAGAGAAUUUUCUUCUGCACUGCAGGAGCUGUAGAUUACCAUGCCGACAUGGGCAAAUCCAAGAACCACACUACACACAACCAGUCCCACAAAUGGCUCAGAAAUGGUGUCAAGAAACCCCAGCCACAAAGAUACGAAUGUCUUAAGGUGGUUGACCCUAGGAACAUGCUCUUUGCCAAGAAGCACAAGAAAGGCUUGAAGAAGAUGCAGGCCAACAAUGCGCAGAAGCCAUCAUCAAGGCCCUUGUGAAGCCUCAGGCCAUCAAGCCCAAGAUGCCAAAGGGCCCCAGUCGCAAACUCAGCCGUCUGGCUCUCGUCGCUCACCCCAAGCUUGGGAAGCAGAUUCAAAGGUACAUGGCCAAGGGUCGUAGACUCUGCCAACCAAAGCCCAAGGUUCAAACCAAGGCAGAGGCCACAGC